CCCGGAGUAGUGAUGGAAUUUUCUUCUAAGUUCUGGGAAGCAAACGAUUUUACUUCCAUUAUUACGGCCAUUCAUUCACCCUCUCCAAAACACAAUCCCGCCUGUCUUCAAAAUUCAUCUUAUUACCAUCUAAAACCACUGAAGUGUAAAAAAAAAAGUUCACCUCAUAGCCAUCAUUAUUUAAAAAAGCAUUUAUUAGAUGCCAAAUUGCACAUCGGAUAGACAUAAUCACUGCCUGAUGAGAGCUUGCAAUCUAGAGCUGACUGAUGAGAAUGCACCAAAAACAGUAAAAUCGAAACAUUAAACAGACAUAAACAGUACAAGUGCAUAAAACAAACAUACUUCUGAGGUAUCCAAAGGAACUAGAAAUUGCAGCAUAUUCUCAGGUUUAUAUAAAUGUAUGUGUCAUAUUCCCAUCCUCCCCAGACUGUUAAUGUGAGGAGAGAUGUCAAAAAAUAAAAGAUGAAACACCAGUAGUGAGAUGGGCCAUGAAAAGAUGGGUAAUGGUCAUCUUGGUAUCAGAUCAAUAGCUCUCUCAAUCUAUAAAACUAAAACAGAUGAAUACACUUCUAAUGAAGAUCAUUUAGUUACUUUCAAACAGAUGGUCAAAGCAAAAACCCUUUCCUACUGAAAUCCUAUAGCGAUAACAAGUUUAAUAAACAAUUCAAAAUAGACUCUAUUCAGAUAAACUAUAGCCUGCUUUGUACGUAUAUGCAGUAAAUUGUCAGAUUACUUUGAGCAAAAUCGUCGGUAUCAGAUCGUAUACCAUGCUGCAGUCAUCAGAACAAUGCCACUUAAUUAUAUGGGAUCUCAGGAGUCAAAGAUUCAAAAUGGCACUUGCUGUGAAAUGUCACUUGUUUUUAGUCUUAACUCCCUGAAUUACUGGGUUAGUCAUUUUCUAUGUUAAAUGGGGAGAUGUGAAUGAAGUAUUACCCAAUGUAACAAAGGUCCUAAACAAAGCCAUUUUGAGUCCAACUCCUUCAAGAGUAACAACUAAAUUCCACAAUUUCUUUAAUUACAAAGUAUAAACUGUUGACAUCUGAAUACUACUGGAACAAUGCUGUUUUCCUCAGUGAUGGCUGUUACAGACCCUGAUAUGCUGGCAAUCACAUUAAGGAUUUGAUAAACAUUUUCAUCACUGCAUCAACAAAAACCAAGAAAUUUAUUCAAGACUUAAUUUCUUCAGUACAGAGUUUUCACUCUGCACGGUGGAUCAACAUCCAUGCUACAAAAUGUAGAGAACCAACUGUUCAAAGCAAUAAACUCCUGCAUUUACCCAUUUAAAUGCUGUUUUGCUGGCAGGUACACAAUUAUGCUUUAAAGAGAAAUCCCAUAUGAAUGUAUAUUUACAAGAUUCUCUGGUUCUUUAACAUUAAUAACCAUUCCAUUUAGCAAUAUCUUGCUCCAAUAUUUAUACAUAACAGCAGUAUCGAAAGACCUGUAUAUUGUCAAGUAUUUUGGUUAAACCUAACAAUUUUCUAUAUGUAUUUUUCUUUGGCAAUGAGGAAAUUUUUUUUCACUAAAACCAUAAGGACUGUACUCUGUAGUUUGCAAUCUCUCAUCUGAUCGUAGGGAUGGGAGUUUAAACUUGAGGUCCUGGAGAGUCUUUCUGUUGCUUUAUAACCACAAAUAUAAGUCAGGCUUGAGAUACAGCACAAAGGGAGUGAAGGGGUUCCAGGAGGCACAUGCACAGGGUACCUCCAUGAGGACCACCCUCACCCACCUAUCUCAGCUGCUUGCAGUGCUAAUAUGUGGUGCACAUGCCAACACAUAACACGGUGUCUCAGAAUGCACAGCCUUCGGCAUCAGAGAGACCCAAGAUGAAAUGCCAGCUUCAGCACAUUGCUAUUGUUGU
rnacentral:lncRNA from 1 species